CAUCCUGUGGUAGGUGUGUGGAUAGCCUAUAAGAUCACCUAUUGAACUGGAAGACUGCAAAUACAAAGUGAUGAAUGAUGGGCAGCCUGAGAAGGUAAUUGUUCUUGAAAUAUUAUUUCUUGCAAUUCUACUCACUGAAUUAUUAAGAAAUUAUGUAACAUAUUAUUUAUGUAAUAACUAAAAGAACAUUCAUUAUUGGGUGAGAAAUUUUCAUUUCUUUCUUCAACACGAUUCUGGUGGGACGCAUGUGGGGCUGGAGGACCGAUGGAUUGUGUACAGGACAGGAGUUCUGCCUGCAGGACCGGGAGACCGACGAUAGGACCCAUGGACCGUUUAUAACGAGACUGUCAAGAAUCGAGAAGUGAUGAAAGAUCAGCAUCAGAAGGUAUUUGUCUUUGAUAUGUCUUGCAACACUAUUCACUGAGACUUAAGUUCCAUUUCAGGACAUUAUUUAACUCAUAAUGAUUAUAAAAUUAGAAUACCCAUCGAUGAGGUAGUGUUCAACUUGAAAAGUCGGAAAUCUACUCUCUAAGUGAUCUAAAUUGUGUUGAUUUGUAAAAAACUCCCACUCUAAAAAACCCACCAAAUUAAAGUAAACUCUUUUCAUAAGCAUUAAUUUGUCUUAUUGAUCAGUACUAAUCAAACAAAAUUUCAAGAUUGUUUGAAACUAUUAUUUGACACAGAGGAUUUUUUUACGCAACAUCACCAGGAUUUUCCACAGGGCAGGAAGACCGUGCAGAGGUCCAGAGAACUGCCUGCAGGACUAGGGGAUCAGACAGGACCGGAGGGUUGCCAACAUGACUGUAGGACUGUCUAUUUCGACUGUGUGUUGAAAUAUUAGAAGUGAUGAAUGAUGAUCAGUCUCAAAAGGACUGUCUCCAGCACCUGUUCAUCGCCUUCAGGAUCAGAAGAUUGUCCAUAUCCACUUUAUCGUGAAAAAAGAUGUUGUAGAACGAUCAGCCUCAAAAGAUUACUUUCACUCGUCGGACUUUUCGGUAAGAAGGCACUGGUGCUCUCAGUAAGUCUACCACAGAAGGUAGGUCAUAUAAACAGCUGGUAGUGUUUAUUUGAUCCAGCAUCAUUGAAACAGUAAUGGCAGUGCAGCACCAACAAGCUGCAAAGAACAAGCCAGUAUGCAAAAUUCUCUUCCAACACUCAAGCUCAAAAUCAUUAGGCAGCUCUUCCCACCCAAUUCUACUUCUGUCACCCCCUUCCCCCUUUAAAAGACCCCUAUCUACACUGCACUGGCCCUGUAAGGAUAGGUUGAUAGGAAGCUAGGUGGACAGGCUAGGUUCAGAGUAGGAUUUUGUAAAUGGUAUUGCCAUGGCCAUGGCGGGAGA